rnacentral:lncRNA from 1 species
ACUGGGAGAGUCUGUCUUUUAUCUCAAACAAAACUACAUGGAGAAAAGGUACUAAAGAAAGACAAAUGCAUUAGAUAAAUAUUUUACCGUAUAGUUGUCAGUAAACCAACUUAGAAUUAUCCUGCAGGGAUUACAUAAAUAAAUAAAUACAUAAAUAAACAAACAAAAUAAACACCUUUAUGAACACUCCGACUGAGUGGAAUAUGUCUAUAUUCUUAUAACUGCUUCAGUUCUAAAAGCCGGAGACACAGGAAUCAUUAAGAGGGGUUGAGUCAAGAUGGCGGCCUGGAAGUAGCUCCUGCGCGCUGCUCUCACAGGGAGGAGACAAAGGGCUGGUGAACACUGACCCUACAAGCUGAUAUCUAAGAAACCGUGUCGGACUCGAUCAAGGCAGCAAGCCGACACAGAGAACAGAGAGGAGUGCAGCUGGGCAGCAGCCUGUCUGGGAUAAACGCGGAGCCAGGAGAAGCUCCCCAACACAGGAAAGGGAUUUGAACAACUUGCAAAUACACCAUGCUGGACACACUAAGAUAAGCAAAAUCAAAAUCCCAUCUAGGAUAUCAUAUCACAUUGAGAUGUCAAGUUUCCUUUGGCUGUUCUUGGCUGUGGCAGUUUCUCAGACUUCUGUAGUUUUUGGUAGACAUCAUUCAAUCUAUUGAUAGUCUGAAAUAGAAGAAGACGAUGGAGAAAGGUUGAAUUCUCCCUCUCUGCAUGACAGUAUGAGCUGGAAAACUGAUCUUUCCCUGCCCUUGGAGCUCCUGGUUCUCAGACCUUCAGACUGGAACUGUCACAGUUCCCAAACUCCAAACUCCAAAAG